AGAGCAGGGCAGAGACCCGGGCCCCUGGAGCCCCCGAAGCCAGUUUGCAGCGCGGGCCGAUGGAAAACGCCUCGGAUGCAGGGUGCAGGGUGGGCGUGAAGUGGACAAAACAGCCCCACAUUUGAAGGAGGGGAGUUUGAGUCAAGGACACCAGGGACCUGCUGCAGAAUCUUUGACAUCCAUGCAGAAGAGAUGGCUGUGUGCUCCUUCAUAUACUCCCUGAAGAAAGAAGGAGGGGUGAGCAGACCCUAGGUUUGGACCUAUGGUUCUAGAGAAUCUGGUAGGCGGGUGCUCAUCUGACUAAGCCAUCCUCUCUAGGAUGCAUUUUCCAUCCGGAUUUAAAAAGGCUGACAAAGAUCAGGAGGGAGCACAUGAGGAGCAAUAGAAGACGCAUGUUCUGGUGUUGAAAGCACAUUGCCUGGGAGUCAGGAGGGCUGGUUUCUAAUCCUGGAUAUACACCUUUCUCAGCUAUGGUGAUAUCCCAGGUGGGGGGACACAAGAGACAUGGAGAGGAUUAUUUCCUUUCUUUCCAGGGAGGUGAUGUCUCUCAUUAUGCAGCUCAGAGUUGCAAUGGCCUAGUUGUUUUGUUGACACAUCACAUUGCAAAGACAUGUCUAAUUUGCUGUCCACUUUCACCCCAAGGUCUCUCUCUUUCUCAGUUUCCCCCUCUCAUGUACACACACAUCUAAGGCAUCAGGUGCAAUCCAAUGCAUUCCAAAGGCCAAUGAAAGACUCACCCUGGUAGCUAUGAUUGAGUAGAUCCAGGAAAGCUGCAUGAAACUCAUGAAAGGCAAGAGAACCCCCCCCCCCACCACCACCACCACCAUUACCUUCUACAGUUCAAACACUGUGCGAAAAAGUGAGAUCUGUAUAUAUGAUUAUGAAUGCUCUGCCACAUUGCAUUUAGUUUACUGGUUAGCCCUGGGAGGGGCUGCAGGAAAGCAACCCACAACUGUUGCAUGUGGUGUGUGCACUGACAAUCCAGUGUGUUGUACAUAAUGCAAGUGACCUGUCACUUAGCCGUCUCUGUAACAGCAAAACAUCCCUGCUGCUGCUCCGAAUACUUACACAGAAGUGAAGGGGAAUUUUUCUCUUGACCAACUUUGGAUCAGGCCCCCAAUCUCCUAACUGUCCAUAAACAUUUCCAGUUGGCUGUCUGCUUCCCAUGGCUAGUAGCAGCCAUUCUGGCAGGGUCUGUGGUUUGAUGUGUGGGUAUUUUUCUUUUGAGGCGAGGUGAAGGGGAGAGACACAGCUCAACCGCUCAGGCUGUAGUCCUGAGAAAAAAGGAACCAACUUAACUCCUAUGAGCCCUUUCUAUUGUAUCAGAUGUGUUAAUAAUCGGUUUUGCUAAUGCAAUUGCUACUAUGAUGCGAAAAUCCUACUGGAAAAUGUAUUAGAGCAAUUAUCCUUCUUACUGCCGCAGCCUGGUGUAGUAUUAAUAUUCAAUUUUGAUGUGGAAGUCCUAUUAUGUUAAUGACUUUUGUGACAAAAGUCGUUAACGUGAGACUUUUUCUAUGGUGCAGCAUUAGCCGGGGUUGAAUACGCACGUGACGCCAAGUACGUCUCACAAGAUCAAACAGAAACUUGUGACUAUGCCACCCAGACCCGUCGCGUAUCCCGAGUGCAUUCGCGAGAGCUGCCAUUGCUGGGCUCCGACGGGAAAGGAGAUGCACUGCAAAGGCAAUAAUACGACAAGCCAGAGCCCUUUCUAGCAACAGGCCUCGUGCUUCAGAACCACAGCCUGUUAUUAGAAUCUAAACGAAAGAUGGUUGGUCGUAGCACUGGGAUUACAGACAUCGCCCAGCCAGGUGUACCGGAGAGUAGCUAAUGCAGAGUUCUCUGGAGCAGACUUCACAACCCCUCCCUCAUGACAAGGUGGAUCACUCAUUUUAGACCCACAUUGGCCUGUGUCCCAUGUAAAGCUGCAUGUCGCUGUCUCACUGGACAUGACUGUAAAUUACACAUGGCAGAAAAGCUGAAUCAGGAAAGCAGGUUAUAGAAAACUUUCUAGCCAUUAAAGCAGUGACGCUGGCGUCAUGGCCAGCUCUCUCCUCUGCUCUUCUGCCAGGCGAUUUUUGUGUUGUGUCCCUUGCAGUGAGUCUCCAUCAGACAUCGGAAAGGUCAGAGUUGCCCCAGCAGGUCUCGGAAGGUUGAGCGCUGCGCUGUGGAGCGAGGCUAAUGUCCCUGAUCCAUUAUUCCUGCUCAGGCCCCUUUCAUUUCGAAACUGAGCCACGUCCCCCUUCCGAAGGAGCAGAGCAGAUACAUAAGAUCCCCAUGCACAGUGCAAUCAGUCCGUUCCCCAUCUCACUGCCUGGCGUAGCUGUCGGGACUUCCUUCUGCUCCAAGGACUUUGGGGAUGGCUGGCAAACAGGUGGGAGGGAGGAAUGGAUGUGUGUCAUCGCCCCGGCUCUGACAAUGGAAAGAAAACACAAAGCCUGUUGUCAAAUCCUGUUUCCACAAGUGCUGAGCUGCACUCAUUUCUGCUAGAUGACCUUGGCCUAGGCACCCUAUGCCGUGCUGGGAGAAGGAAAACCCGGAGCCGAUCUGCAGCCCCAAUCUCUGCAGCCCUCUCGGCUCCGGAGCGGGGCCAGGGCAGGGAACAAAAGGAAAAUAAUGUAACUAACACAAAAGAUACACAUCAAAACAACACAAGCGGAUCUCUGCAAUAAACAGCAGGGUUCCCCCAAGUGACAUCCCCCUCCCGUCGCUUACUGCCUUCUCUCCUCACCUCGGCCUCUUCUCAUUGGUUGUAUCCCCUGUAUGAUAGAGGCUUCCUUCUGAGAGGCUAAAGUUAAGGGGGUUGAAGAUGCUCUUAGAAUCACCCUCUUCCCGAUCUAAUUCCCUUCACCAGGGCCUCACUCCACACAUCCUUAUUUACAUCUGUGCAAAUCAGUGCACCCACUUUGCAUUCCAUUUCCACAGGUGUGAGCGAUGAGAGAAGGCGCCGGGCGCAAGACUCAGCCCCUGGCCUGUGUGUGUCUGACGCCGUGUGCACGCACAUGGGACUGUCUGCAUAAUGACGAAUAAUGUUUUCUGGAAGGAAAAUGCCUUUUUGGGGCGGGAAGGGGAAACGUACCUAAUUAUGCACAAAGUUCCCAAGUCCGAGUGGGGAA